rnacentral:tRNA from 1 species
UAAUAGAUAGCAAAAAUGCCAUUAGUUUCGACCUAAUUAUUGAUAGAUAAAUUCUGUCUCUAUUAA